rnacentral:rRNA from 1 species
UGUCCUACGGGGGGCAGCAGUAGGGAAUCUUCCACAAUGGGCGAAAGCCUGAUGGAGCAACGCCGCGUGGGUGAAGAAGGUCUUCGGAUCGAAAAACCCUGUUGUUAGAGAAGAAAGUGAGUGAGAGUAACUGUUCACGUUUCGACGGUAUCUAACCAGAAAGCCACGGAUAACUACGUGCCAGCAGCCGCGGUAAUACGCAGGUGGCAAGCGUUAUCCGGAUUUAUUGGGAGUAAAGGGAACGCAGGC